ensembl:lncRNA
GAGCACUCGCUGUCCUGAGGAAGGAACACACAUUUGACUAGACCUUAUCUUCUGUAAAGAUGUGCUGCACAUCAAUUCAUCUCCUCAUUGGUGCCUUACUUGUCUUUGCUAUUGAAAAUGUGGCCACAGCCACGGAAAACAGCACAGAAAAUAACACAGCUCCAGUUUCAGUGCCUUCAUACACCACCACCCAAUUCAAAGAAACAGACUUUACCAUUCCAAACGUCACUGUUACCCUGCCAAACAAGACGGCUGUGAAUACCACAUCAGCAUCAGAACUGCCUACUCCACCUCCCCCAGAACGUCCGCAGACCAACAAUUUCACCACAGGCGAUUCUCUGAAGACCAUUGCACAAUCAAGCACAAUUAAUAUGAUCAAAAGCACAACUAUUAGCAAAGCAACUAUAACUACAGCAGUAAAAACUACAGUUUCGACAACAACGCAAUCGGGGACAAAAACUUUUAUAGUUAUCUUUAUUAUUGCCAUUCUGUGCCUUGCUGGGGUAUUAGUUUAUUGUUGCCUUAAAAAGAAAUCUAGGAAGUACUCUGUGGACUUACAUCCCAAACACGAAGAUGCUCAGAUCCCACUCAGCACAGUGGAUGCAGAGGUGUUUGACACCACAUCAGUCAAAGAUAUGCAAACGUUCACUCCUGUCGAGUCCACCGAGCCGCUUAAGGACCCUGCGCCUGAAUCUGAGAAGCCUGAGGGAGAGAAAGAAUCAGCUGAUGUUAAACAAGAAAACCAACAGAAUUUAUCCAGCACUCAGGCCACAGAGAACCCAAAGGAUAAAAUGGAGGGGCUGACCGUAGUGGAUCUGACUGAUGGAGAACCGACGAUCUCCACCAAAACCUCAAUGGAAUCCCUAGAUGAUGUUCUCAAUGAAAACAACAGCAACAAUACAAGAGAUCUCUGAACCUGACUGAUGGAUUGUACUGGAACUGGAAGUAACAGCUGAACUAAAUUCAUUGUUAGAACAACCUUGUUUGAAUAUACAUACAGCACUAAGAAAAGUCUGUAAAAACAGGGCCCAAUGUAUUGUGUUAAUGUAAAGGAAUUUUCUGUAUACAUUUUCACUAGUCUUUUACUCAUAUUUUUAAAUGCAUUGUGUUGUUUUAUGGUUAAAAGGAAAUAUACAUAAACUUAAUGGAGUGCAACUUAAUGGAGAAACUUCUGCAGAUUUUUGUUCCUACAUUGUAUUUCAAUUAGCAUACUAUUACCUGUUAUGUUAGAUUUUAAUAUUGUAACUUGUUAAUUAUAAUUUUGUAAAUGUUCAACCAGCUUUUUAUUGUUGUUGGCUGUAUAUGUAAAUGAACAAUGCGUACUUUUUCCAUGUUAUUGCACCCAGAUAUCACAAUUUAUUUUCCAAGCAAAAGGAUGCUUGGAAAAUAACCGAAUAAUGCAAAACAUGUCCCUUUUGACAGCUCCAGGUAUUUUAAUAAAAUUACAGAUUGAUUCUUUGUUUCUUGUAUU